rnacentral:ncRNA from 1 species
UAGUUACUUGUUCCCCGGAUAGUUUAGUUACGUAGCCAAUUGUGGAACUUUCUUGCUAAAAUUUUUAAGAAUACUAUUUGGGUUAAACCAAUUAGUUCUUAUCAAUUAUAACGAUUAUCAAUUAACAAUCAAUUCAGAACUGGCACGGACUUGGGGAAUCCGACUGUCUAAUUAAAACAAAGCAUUGUGAUGGCCCUAGCGGGUGUUGACACAAUGUGAUUUCUGCCCAGUGCUCUGAAUGUCAAAGUGAAGAAAUUCAAGUAAGCGCGGGUCAGGGGAUCAGGGGUAAUUGCGAGCAGAGGGGGAGUAUUUUUCUUUA